UACGUAGGGGGCAAGCGUUGUCCGGAUUUAUUGGGCGUAAAGAGCGUGUAGGCGGCCAUGCAGGUCCGCUGUGAAAACUCGAGGCUCAACCUCGAGACGUCGGUGGAAACCGCAUGGCUAGAGUCCGGAAGAGGAGAGUGGAAUUCCCGGUGUAGCGGUGAAAUGCGCAGAUAUCGGGAGGAACACCUGAGGCGAAGGCGGGCUACUGGGCCGAUACUGACGCUGAUGUGCGAAAGCCAGGGGAGCGAACGGG
rnacentral:rRNA from 1 species